UACGGAGGGUGCAAGCGUUAUCCGGAUUCACUGGGUUUAAAGGGUGUGUAGGCGGGCUAUUAAGUCAGUGGUGAAAUCUCCGGGCUCAACUCGGAAACUGCCAUUGAUACUAUUAGUCUUGAAUAUCGUUGAGGUUGGCGGAAUAUAUCAUGUAGCGGUGAAAUGCAUAGAUAUGAUAUAGAACACCGAUUGCGAAGGCAGCUAACUAAGCGAUGAUUGACGCUGAGGCACGAAAGCGUGGGGAUCAAACAGG
rnacentral:rRNA from 1 species